UAACGGGUGAAAGUCCCGUCAUGGUAAAAGCCGGAGCCAUGUAGCUUGGAUGGCAGGGGGCGAUGGAAACGUUGCCUUCUGAAGCCCCAUUGACAAAGUCGGCGUAAGGCCGGUGAGCGAAUAUCCGGGUCGUAACGAAA
rfam:Candidatus Jettenia caeni DNA, contig: KST1_D.